UUACUGGGCUAAAGUUAUUUGCCGCUCUGGUGGUUAAAUCAACUCCAGUAUCUCUUUUUUUAAUAGUUCAGCUUCUAUUAUCUUUGAUAGUAGUUGUUUGGACAUUUCACUGUGAGAAAAUUGUGGUGUUUAAAGCAGGCGUUUCGCCUGAUCUUUUGCAGCAUGGUAUGAUGAAACAUGACAUUUUACGCUAUUGGUUUGCGUCUAAAGUGUAAUGAUUAAUAGGGAUGGAUGGGGGUGUUCAUAUUGGUGGGCGAGAGGUGAAAUUCGUUGACCCUAUCAAGAUGAACUUCUGCGAAAGCAUUCACCAAAUACUUCCCCAUUAAUCAAGAACGAAAGUUUGGGGAUCGAAGACGAUCAGAUACCGUCGUAGUCCAAACUAUAAACUAUGUCGACCAGGGAUCGGUUAAAAUUUUUUUAAAAUUUAAUCGGCACCUUGUGAGAAAUCACGAGUGUUUAGAUUCCGGGGGGAGUAUGGUCGCAAGUCUGAAACUUAAAGGAAUUGACGGAAGGGCACACAAUGGAGUGGAGCCUGCGGCUUAAUU
rnacentral:rRNA from 1 species